rnacentral:rRNA from 1 species
GAACCCUUUCGGCGUGCUUAACACAUGCAAGUCGAACGGAAAGGCCCUGCUUUUGUGGGGUGCUCGAGUGGCGAACGGGUGAGUAACACGUGAGUAACCUGCCCUUGACUUUGGGAUAACUUCAGGAAACUGGGGCUAAUACCGGAUAGGAGCUCCUGCUGCAUGGUGGGGGUUGGAAAGUUUCGGCGGUUGGGGAUGGACUCGCGGCUUAUCAGCUUGUUGGUGGGGUAGUGGCUUACCAAGGCUUUGACGGGUAGCCGGCCUGAGAGGGUGACCGGCCACAUUGGGACUGAGAUACGGCCCAGACUCCUACGGGAGGCAGCAGUGGGGAAUAUUGCACAAUGAGCGGAAGCCUGAUGCAGCAACGCCGCGUGCGGGAUGACGGCCUUCGGGUUGUAAACCGCUUUCGCCUGUGACGAAGCGUGAGUGACGGUAAUGGGUAAAGAAGCACCGGCUAACUACGUGCCAGCAGCCGCGGUGAUACGUAGGGUGCGAGCGUUGUCCGGAUUUAUUGGGCGUAAGGGCUCGUAGGUGGUUGAUCGCGUCGGAAGUGUAAUCUUGGGGCUUAACCCUGAGCGUGCUUUCGAUACGGGUUGACUUGAGGAAGGUAGGGGAGAAUGGAAUUCCUGGUGGAGCGGUGGAAUGCGCAGAUAUCAGGAGGAACACCAGUGGCGAAGGCGGUUCUCUGGGCCUUUCCUGACGCUGAGGAGCGAAAGCGUGGGGAGCGAACAGGCUUAGAUACCCUGGUAGUCCACGCUGUAAACGGUGGGUACUAGGUGUGGGGUCCAUUCCACGGGUUCCGUGCCGUAGCUAACGCUUUAAGUACCCCGCCUGGGGAGUACGGCCGCAAGGCUAAAACUCAAAGGAAUUGACGGGGCCCCGCACAAGCGGCGGAGCAUGCGGAUUAAUUCGAUGCAACGCGUAGAACCUUACCUGGGUUUGACAUGGAUCGGGAGUGCUCAGAGAUGGGUGUGCCUCUUUUGGGGUCGGUUCACAGGUGGUGCAUGGCUGUCGUCAGCUCGUGUCGUGAGAUGUUGGGUUAAGUCCCGCAACGAGCGCAACCCUUGUUCACUGUUGCCAGCACGUUAUGGUGGGGACUCAGUGGAGACCGCCGGGGUCAACUCGGAGGAAGGUGGGGAUGACGUCAAGUCAUCAUGCCCCUUAUGUCCAGGGCUUCACGCAUGCUACAAUGGCUGGUACAGAGAGUGGCGAGCCUGUGAGGGUGAGCGAAUCUCGGAAAGCCGGUCUCAGUUCGGAUUGGGGUCUGCAACUCGACCUCAUGAAGUCGGAGUCGCUAGUAAUCGCAGAUCAGCAACGCUGCGGUGAAUACGUUCCCGGGGCU